GAUGAACGCUGGCGGCAUGCCUAACACAUGCAAGUCGAUCGGUAAGGCUCUUCGGAGUACACGAGAGGCGGACGGCUGAGUAACGCGUAGGAACACACCCUGCAGUGAGGGAUAAGACACCGAAAGGUGUUCUAAUACCGCAUACGGUCUUCGGAUUAAAGCAUUUAUGCGCUGAAGGAGUGGCCUGCGUCAUAUUAGAUAGUUGGUGAGGUAAUGGCUCACCAAGUCGAUGAUGUGUAGCUGGUCUGAGAGGAUGAUCAGCCAGACUGGAACUGAGACACGGUCCAGACUCCUACGGGAGGCAGCAGUGAGGAAUAUUUCACAAUGAGCGAAAGCUUGAUGGAGCAAUGCCGCGUGCAGGAUGAAGGCCCUCGGGUUGUAAACUGCUUUUAUAAGAGAAGAUUAUGACGGUAACUUAUGAAUAGGGACGGCUAACUACGUG
rnacentral:rRNA from 1 species